CCCUUAGAGUUUGAUCAUGGCUCAGAACGAACGCUGGCGGCGUGCCUAACACAUGCAAGUCGAACGAGAUAGUCCCUUCGGGGAUGUUUAAAGUGGCGCACGGGUGAGUAAUACAUUGGUAACCUGCCUUUUUGAUCGGAACAACCUGUCUAACGACGGGCUAAUGCCGAAUAAGACCACGACCUUAAUAUAGGACGAGGUAAAAGAUGCCCUCUGUAUACACGGUAUCACAAAUCGAGGGGCCAAUGCACCAUUAGCUAGUUGGUAGGGUAACGGCCUACCAAGGCUACGAUGGUUAGCUGAUCUGAGAGGAUGAUCAGCCACAUUGGAACUGACACACGGUCCAGACUCCUACGGGAGGCAGCAGUGGGGAAUAUUGCGCAAUGGGGGAAACCCUGACGCAGCAACGCCGCGUGGGUGAUGAAGGCCUUCGGGUCGUAAAGCCCUGUCGGGAGGGAAGAAAAUGUUGUGUGCUAAUAUCACACGACACUGACGGUACCUCCUAAGGAAGCACCGGCUAACUCCGUGCCAGCAGCCGCGGUAAUACGGAGGGUGCAAGCGUUGUUCGGAAUUAUUGGGCGUAAAAGGGCGUGUAGGUGGCUUUGUAUGUCGGGUGUGAAAAUCCCUCGGCUUAAACCGAGGAAACUGCGCCCUGAAAACUGCAAAGCUAGAGUCCCGGGAGA
rnacentral:rRNA from 1 species